rnacentral:lncRNA from 1 species
AGCUAUGCCAGGAGCCGGGGACAAGGACGGAGCCACCCCAGAGGACCCUGCUGCUGCGGGGUGUGGCCGAGGAGAGGAGAGGUCGGAAGGCAGCCACGGGGAGUCACCAGGAACAGGGCGGGAUGCGGUGCAGAGUCUGAGGGAAAGGGGCUCCUGGUGAGCGGGUCGGGGGGCGCGAUGGGGUCACACGGGGCUCAUUGUGUUGGUCAUGUUCUUGGAAGGAGGCUGGGCUCUGCUCCUAGCUGUGCCCCGCACCUCGCACACCCGGGAGAUGAUGAUGAGCAGAUUUUCAGCCCAGAGGAUCUUCAUCUUGGGUCUCCUCCUUGCCCUUUGCUCCUCCCUCCAGGGUCCUCCUGAGGCCAGGGGCUGUCCCGAGAGCCCCGAGGGCAGAGUCUCCUUCCCUGAGCCCCUCCCCCACCCCCUCUGCUGCCCCUCCCGGUCCAGCCCGCCCACCACCCAGCGGAGGGCCCGGCGGGAGCAGGUGCCCCAGGGACCUGGCUGCGGCUCUCCGGAGAAUUCCGAGGAUGCGGGCUGGCCAUCACGCGCCCCCUGCUUGGCGCUCCCUGAGGCUCGGCCACCCGCUGAAGCCCUGCCGUAAACAGAUGCCAGGCAUCGCGAACCCAGACUGCACGCGUGGAGCGCCACGCCGCUCUCCCAUUCCUUCCCGGGGAUUCCUGGAAACCCGGCUUGGAGAGAGGCCUGCGGGGUGACCCGGCCUGGCUGUGCCGCCCCUCAGCCCCUUCGCAGUGCCCCGUCCCCCGGCUGUCGCAGCCUCUCGGGGCGGGACGCGUGCACACCCAGGCCUGUCUCCCUGCAGAGCCCAGCUGUCGGAGGCUAAGACUGUGCCUCCCUCGGCCCCUGUUCCUGCCGCACCCGGUCCCCUCGUGUCGUGCAUCAUACUGGCCCGGAGUCCUCCAUGCGCCCUCAGCAAAGAGGGGACGAAGGUUCAGAGAGGUCAAGUCACUGACUGAAGAUCACACAGUGGGAGGCAGCAGAGAAACGUUCAAACCAGCGGCUUCUAUUCCUAAGCCCAUGCCCGUUACUUCUUAGUGUGAACAAAGGGGACCCGGUGGCCAAAGCUUUCUGUACUGAAGAUGCUUCCAGAUCUUUCCAAGGAGAGCACAGACCUGGCGUGCAGACCCCUCUCCUCUCGCUGCUCCGUGUUAUCCAUUUACCUCGUUAAGUCUCAGCCUAUUAAUAACCACCCAUUUGUCUUAAUUCAAUAAAAAGAUGAUUGAUCAUAUUUGCA